rnacentral:tRNA from 1 species
GGGGUUGUGGCUCAGUGGUAGAGCUCCCACCUAGCAAGUGCAGGGCCCUGGGUUCGAUUCUCAGCACCA